UACGGAGGGUGCGAGCGUUGUCCGGAAUCAUUGGGCGUAAAGGGCGCGUAGGUGGCGGGACAAGCGUGCGGUGAAAGCCUGGGGCUCAACCCCGGGUCGGCCGUGCGAACUGUUUUGCUUGAGCACUGUAGAGGCAGGCGGAAUUCCGGGUGUAGCGGUGGAAUGCGUAGAGAUCCGGAGGAACACCAAUGGCGAAGGCAGGGUCCUGGCUGGUAGCUGACGCUGAGGUGCGAAAGCCAGGGGAGCGAACGGG
rnacentral:rRNA from 1 species